GGUGGUCUAGUGGUUAGAGCAUCUGCCUCGGAUGCACGAGAUCUCGGGUUCGAACUCCGGCAUAGUUA